CGGCGGCGUGCUUACCAUGCAAGUCGAACGAGAAUUUGGCGGACUGAACUUUCGGGAGAGGGAAGCUGAAGGGAAGUGGCGAACGGGUGAGUAACACGUGAGCAACCUGCCUUACACAAAGGGAUAGCCACUGGAAACGGUGAUUAAUACCAUAUGAGACCACAAACUCGCAUGAGAAAGGGGUUAAAGAAAUUCGGUGUAAGAUGGGCUCGCGUCUGAUUAGCUAGUUGGAAGGGUAAAGGCCUACCAAGGCGACGAUCAGUAGCCGGUCUGAGAGGAUGAACGGCCACACUGGAACUGAGACACGGCCCAGACUCCUACGGGAGGCAGCAGUAGGGAAUCUUCGGCAAUGGGGGGAACCCUGACCGAGCAACGCCGCGUGAGUGAAGAAGGUUUUCGGAUCGUAAAGCUCUGUUGUAAGAGAAGAACAGGUGUGAGAGUGGAAAGUUCACACUAUGACGGUAUCUUACCAGAAAGGGACGGCUAACUACGUGCCAGCAGCCGCGGUAAU
rnacentral:rRNA from 1 species